GAAGUUCUUCGGGGCAGGGUGAAAUUCCCGACCGACGGUAUAGUCCGUGAGCUGCUUAGGCAGUUGAUUUGGUGAGAUUCCAAAACCGACAGUAAAGUCUGGAUGAGAGAAGAAAAAC
rfam:Anaerobium acetethylicum strain GluBS11 genome assembly, contig: Ga0116910_1030